UAGAAAUACGUGGCGAACGGCCCAGUAACACGUAGUCAACAUGCCCAGAGGACGUGGAUAACCUCGGGAAACUGAGGAUAAACCGCGAUAGGCCAUGAUUUCUGGAAUGGUUUAUGGCUGAAAUCUAUAUGGCCUCUGGAUUGGACUGCGGCCGAUCAGGCUGUUGGUGAGGUAAUGGCCCACCAAACCUAUAACCGGUACGGGCUCUGAGAGGAGGAGCCCGGAGAUGGGCACUGAGACAAGGGCCCAGGCCCUAUGGGGCGCAGCAGGCGCGAAAUCUCUGCAAUAGGCGAAAGCUUGACAGGGUUACUCUGAGUGAUUCCCGCUAAGGGGAUCUUUUGGCACCUCUAAAAAUGGUGCAGAAUAAGGGGUGGGCAAGUCUGGUGUCAGCCGCCGCGGUAAUACCAGCACCCCGAGUGGUCGGGACGAUUAUUGGGCCUAAAGCAUCCGUAGCCGGUACUGCAAGUCUUCCGUUAAAUCCACCUGCUCAACAGUUGGGCUGCGGAGGAUACUACAGCGCUAGGAGGCGGGAGAGGCAAGCGGUACUCAGUGGGUAGGGGUAAAAUCCACUGAUCCAUUGAAGACCACCAGUGGCGAAGGCGGCUUGCCAGAACGCGCUCGACGGUGAGGGAUGAAAGCUGGGGGAGCCAACCGGAUUAGAUACCCGGGUAGUCCCAGCUGUAAACGAUGCAGACUCGGUGAUGGGCUGGCCUUGUGCCAACCCAGUGCCGCAGGGAAGCCGUUAAGUCUGCCGCCUGGGGAGUACGGUCGCAUGACUGAAACUUAAAGGAAUUGGCGGGGGAGCACCACAAGGGGUGAAGCCUGCGGUUCAAUUGGAUUCAACGCCGGA
rnacentral:rRNA from 1 species